rnacentral:rRNA from 1 species
ACCGCCCGUCCACACCAUGAGAGUUGGGAAUACCCGAAGCCUGUGAGCUAACUUAUAGAGGCAGCAGUCGAAGGUAGAAUCAAUGAUUGGGGUGAAGUCGUAACAAGGUACC